UAUCUGUGAAAGCCCCUGGAAGGGGUGAAGAGGCUCCUGAUAGACCUCUUCACCGAAGAAGAGCUCAUGCGGUGCAGACUGAAGGGAAAGGGAAGGUCCAGGAUGCACCUGGGCAGAAACAAGGUGCAGAUAAUUUAUGGUGCAAUGAGGGGAAAUUACGGAAUGACUGAUGAGAAAGUGGACCAGCUGAUUAGAAAUCAGCAAAAAUCCUUAAAAGGCAAAACCAAAAAAAAGUCUUCAGUAAAGCUAAAUGAAAUGUCCAUUGUUUGUGUAAAAUGUUCGCUUUAGUGGGUUUUUUAACCAUAGAGAUAUUUUAGCUUGCCUUGCACUUUUUGUUGUAUACCAACUUUUUGUCGAAUUUGGUUUUGUCUUUUAACGAUUUUUGCUGAUUUCUAUGACGUUAUAGAAGUCACUGUUCACGUUGUAUCCGAAAAUUAUAAAGUUGAUUAUCAAAUUUUGAGAUAAUUGUAAAUUUGUUCUGUAUUCUAAAAA